rnacentral:rRNA from 1 species
CCCGUAAGUGGACGGGGCUUGCCCUUGCACCAAGUGACAAUCGUUAAACGGCCGCGGUAUCUUGACCGUGCAAAGGUAGCAUAAUCACUUGUUCUCUAAAUAGGGACUUGUAUGAAUGGCCACACGAGGGUUUUACUGUCUCUCACUCCUAAUCAGUGAAAUUGACCUCCCCGUGAAGAGGCGGGGAUAACACAAUAAGACGAGAAGACCCUAUGGAGCUUUAAUUAAUCAACUCAAAAAGCAUAAAAUAAUACCACCAAGGGAUAACAGAGCUUUACAUGAGCUGACAAUUUCGGUUGGGGUGACCUCGGAGUAUAGAAAACCCUCCGAGUGAUUAAAACUUAGGCCUACCAGCCAAAGUAUAAUAUCACUUAUUGAUCCAAAAUUUUGAUCAACGGAACAAGUUACCCUAGGGAUAACAGCGCAAUCCUAUUCUAGAGUCCAUAUCGACAAUAGGGUUUACGACCUCGAUGUUGGAUCAGGACAUCCUUUAAAUUGGCGGCAAGCAUUCUGCGAUCAAACCCGGAAUCCCCCCGUAACUAU